CCUACGGGAGGCAGCAGUGGGGAAUUUUGGACAAUGGGCGCAAGCCUGAUCCAGCAAUGCCGCGUGAGUGAAGAAGGCCUUCGGGUUGUAAAGCUCUUUUGUCAGGGAAGAAACGGUGGGAGCUAAUAUCUCCUACUAAUGACGGUACCUGAAGAAUAAGCACCGGCUAACUACGUGCCAGCAGCCGCGGUAAUACGUAGGGUGCAAGCGUUAAUCGGAAUUACUGGGCGUAAAGCGUGCGCAGGCGGUUUUGUAAGUCUGUCGUGAAAGCCCCGGGCUCAACCUGGGAAUUGCGAUGGAGACUGCAAGGCUUGAAUCUGGCAGAGGGGGGUAGAAUUCCACGUGUAGCAGUGAAAUGCGUAGAGAUGUGGAGGAACACCGAUGGCGAAGGCAGCCCCCUGGGUCAAGAUUGACGCUCAUGCACGAAAGCGUGGGGAGCAAACAGGAUUAGAUACCCUGGUAGUCCACGCCCUAAACGAUGUCUACUAGUUGUCGGGUUUUAAUUAACUUGGUAACGCAGCUAACGCGUGAAGUAGACCGCCUGGGGAUACGGUCGCAAGNUUAAAACUCAAAUGAAUUGACGG
rnacentral:rRNA from 1 species